UACGAAGGGGGCUAGCGUUGCUCGGAAUUACUGGGCGUAAAGGGAGCGUAGGCGGAUAGUUCAGUCAGAGGUGAAAGCCCAGGGCUCAACCUUGGAAUUGCCUUUGAUACUGGCUGUCUUGAGUAUGGGAGAGGUUAGCGGAACUCCGAGUGUAGAGGUGAAAUUCGUAGAUAUUCGGAAGAACACCAGUGGCGAAGGCGGCUAACUGGCCCAUUACUGACGCUGAGGCUCGAAAGCGUGGGGAGCAAACGGG
rnacentral:rRNA from 1 species